rnacentral:tRNA from 1 species
GCCCGGGUGGCGGAACUGGCAGACGCACUCGGCUUAAACCCGAGGGUCGAAAGACGUGCGGGUUCAAAUCCCGCCCCGGGCA